rnacentral:tRNA from 1 species
GGCCGGGUAGCUCAGUGGGAGAGCUCGGGGCCAAAGCCCCCGCGGACGGCGGUUCGAUUCCGCCCCCGGCCU